AGGUGCGAUCAUACUAGCACAAACGCAUCGGAUCCCUUCAGAACUCCGCAACUAAGUGUGCUCUGGAGAGAGUAGUACUAGGAUGGGUGACCUCUUGGGAAGUCCUCGUGUUGCACCUC
rnacentral:rRNA from 2 species